rnacentral:rRNA from 1 species
GACGAACGCUGGCGGCGUGCCUAAUACAUGCAAGUAGGACGCAGUUGCGAACGGGUGAGUAACGCGUAGGUAACUGCCUAUUAGAGGGGGAUAACUAUUGGAAACGAUAGCUAAUACCGCAUACUAGUAGAUGGACCUGCUUUGUAUUAGCUAGUAGGUAGGGUAAUGGCCUGACUAGGCGACGGUACAUAGCCGACCUGGGAGGGGGAUCGGGCACCCUGGGACUGAGACACGGCCCAGGCUCCUACGGGAGGCAGCAGUAGGGAAGCUUGCGCAAUGGGGGGAACCCUGACCGGGCAACGCCGCGUGAGUGAAGAAGGUUUUCGGAUCGUAAAGCGCUGUUGUUAAGGAAGCGGUACUUAACCAGAAAGGGACGGCUAACUACGUGCCAGCAGCCGCGGUAAUUC